AGAUGCUGCAGUUAUUAAAGAAAAGGUGAAAUCAGCCCCUGCAAAGAAAGCUGAAAUUCACAAAGAAAAUGCCAAAGCAGCUUCAUCAAAGAAUGAGUCCAAGGAAACUAAGGAACAAGCCAAACCAGAGCCUUCAAAAAA